GCGAAUAUAGAUGAAUAGGUUACAUCAUUAAUCUUCCAAAUUAAAGUUUGUGGGUUCGAAUCCCACUAUUCGUUGA
rnacentral:tRNA from 1 species